rnacentral:misc_RNA from 1 species
GAUGAAGAACGUAGCGAAAUGCGAUAAGUAGUGUGAAUUGCAGAAUUUAGUGAAUCAUCGAAUCUUUGAACGCACAUUGCGCCCUAUAGUAUUCUGUAGGGCAUGCCUGUUCGAGCGUUAUUGAGACCUCAAGCUCUGCUUGGAAAUGGGCGCUUGUCUUGCCUUGCAGACUCGCCUUAAAACCAUUGGCAGCUGAUUUACAAUGUUUGGUGCACAGUACAUGAGCCCAAGUGUUGCAAUGAGUGGCCCAAAAGUAUACAAUAGAAGCUUAACCUCGGAUCAGGUAGGGAUACCCGCUGAACUUAAGCAUAUCAAUAAGCGGAGA